AAAUUGAAGAGUUUGAUCAUGGCUCAGAUUGAACGCUGGCGGCAGGCCUAACACAUGCAAGUCGAACGGUAACAGAAAGAAGCUUGCUUCUUUGCUGACGAGUGGCGGACGGGUGAGUAAUGUCUGGGAAACUGCCUGAUGGAGGGGGAUAACUACUGGAAACGGUAGCUAAUACCGCAUAACGUCGCAAGACCAAAGAGGGGGACCUUCGGGCCUCUUGCCAUCGGAUGUGCCCAGAUGGGAUUAGCUUGUUGGUGGGGUAACGGCUCACCAAGGCGACGAUCCCUAGCUGGUCUGAGAGGAUGACCAGCCACACUGGAACUGAGACACGGUCCAGACUCCUACGGGAGGCAGCAGUGGGGAAUAUUGCACAAUGGGCG
rnacentral:rRNA from 1 species